rnacentral:rRNA from 1 species
GACGAACCGUGCGAACGUUGUUCGGAUUCACUGGGCUUAAAGGGCGCGUAGGCGGUACGCCAAGUCUGGGGUGAAAUCUUUCGGCUCAACCGGAAAAUUGCCUGGGAUACUGGCGUGCUCGAGGGAGGUAGGGGCAGCGGGAACUGCCAGUGGAGCGGUGAAAUGCGUUGAUAUUGGCAGGAACGCCGGUGGCGAAAGCGCGCUGCUGGACCUCUUCUGACGCUGAGGCGCGACAGCUAGGGGAGCAAACGGG